rnacentral:rRNA from 1 species
CCUACGGGUGGCAGCAGUGAGGAAUAUUGGUCAAUGGUCGGAAGACUGAACCAGCCAAGCCGCGUGAGGGAUGAAGGUACAGAGUAUCGUAAACCUCUUUUGUCAGGGAACAAAGUCGGGGACGCGUCCCCGGAUGAGUGUACCUGAAGAAAAAGCAUCGGCUAACUCCGUGCCAGCAGCCGCGGUAAUACGGAGGAUACGAGCGUUAUCCGGAUUUAUUGGGUUUAAAGGGUGCGCAGGCGGCCUGUUAAGUCAGCGGUAAAAGCCCGCGGCUCAACCCCGGCCCGCCGUUGAAACUGGCAGUCUCGAGUUGGAGAGAAGUAUGCGGAAUGCGCGGUGUAGCGGUGAAAUGCAUAGAUAUCGCGAAGAACUCCGAUGGCGAAGGCAGCAUGCCGGCUCCACACUGACGCUGAGGCACGAAAGCGUGGGUAUCGAACAGGAUUAGAUACCCGAGUAGUC